UGGGGAAUAUUGGACAAUGGGCGAAAGCCUGAUCCAGCCAUGCCGCGUGAGUGACGAAGGCCUUAGGGUUGUAAAACUCUUUCGUCGGGGACGAUAAUGACGGUACCCGAAGAAGAAGCUCCGGCUAACUUCGUGCCAGCAGCCGCGGUAAUACGAAGGGAGCUAGCGUUGUUCGGAAUCACUGGGCGUAAAGCGCACGUAGGCGGAUAGUUAAGUCAGGGGUGAAAUCCUGGGGCUCAACCCCAGAACUGCCUUUGAUACUGGCUGUCUCGAGGUCGAGAGAGGUUGGUGGAAUUCCUAGUGUAGAGGUGAAAUUCGUAGAUAUUAGGAAGAACACCAGUGGCGAAGGCGGCCAACUGGCUCGAUACUGACGCUGAGGUGCGAAAGCGUGGGGAGCAAACAGGAUUAGAUACCCCGUAGUCCCUGAGCGGGCUGGCAAGGCGCAU
rnacentral:rRNA from 1 species